rnacentral:rRNA from 1 species
UGUAGUGGAAAGGAUUAAAAUGGAAACUGCGUACAGCUCAUUACAACAGGGAUUGUUUAUAACGUAAAUGAACUUAGCUGGAUAUUAUCGGUAAUUCUGUGACCAAUACGUGGAUAUAUACAUGUGUGCUUCGGCAUGCAUUCAAAGCCUCUUUUCAAAGCAAUGACUCUAGUGAUUUAAAGGCUUAAUAUUACCGAUGAUCGUACGCCCUUGUGGUGAUGACAAACGUUAUAAAUCUCUGCUCUAUUAACCUUGUGCUAGUGUAGUGUACUGCCAAGGUUGUAAUGGGUAACGGAGAAUUAGGGUUCGUCUCCGGAGAAGGCGCCUGAGAAAUGGCGACUAGUUCCACGGAAUGCAGCAGGCGCGAAACUUACCCAAUGUCAGAUCGACGAGGUAGUGAAGAAACAUAGCGAGACUGACCUCUCUGAGGGCGGUCAUUGCAAUGGAUUUAAUCCAAACUCUUUUUUGAGUAUCAACGAGUGGGCAAGUCUGGUGCCAGCAGCCGCGGUAAUUCCAGCACUCGUAGUGUAUAGAUAUAUUGUUGCGUUUAAAAAGCUCGUAGUUGGAUUGCCACAUGGGUUCGGGUUCGGACUUCGGUUCGCAACUUGAUCUGUGUUCUGUGUCGAGGGCUCGGCUUCGGUCGCAGUCAUUGACACUGGAUUACUUUGAAUGUCUUAGGUGCUCAAUGCGAGGCUUAAGCUUGAAUUGCAUUUUAUGGAAUAAUGGAACAAGGUUUCGGCCGAGUUUCGUUGGUUUGUUGGUCGAAGCAAUGGUUAAAAGGGACAGUUCGUGGGUGAACGUAUCGCUGCUCGAGGAGUGAAAUCUGUGGACAGUGGCGAGACGACCGAAAGCGAAAGCAUUCACCAAGGAUGUUUUCAUUAAUCAAGAGCGAAAGUCAGAGGAUCGAAGGUGAUUAGAUACCGCCCUAGUUCUGACCGUAAACGAUGCCAACUGUUGGUCUGCGUGUGGAUUUUAUUCACUGCGUGGGAAAGCCCCCGGAAACGAAAGUGUUUCGGCUCCGGGGGUAGUAUGGUUGCAAAGCUGAAACUUAAAGGAAUUGACGGAAGGGCACCACCAGGAGUGGAUCUUGCGGCUUAAUUUGACUCAACACGGGAAAGCUUACCUGCGUAGUAUAUUGUUAGGAUUGACAGACUGCUGGCUCUUUCAUAAUUCGGUUAAUGGUGGUGCAUGGCCGUUCUUAGUUCGUGGAUUGAUUUGUCUGCUUAAUUGCGAUAACGAGCGAGACUCUGACAAUUAAAUGAUUUUUGCCCAUAAUUGUUCAGAUGUAUAUCUUAGUUGGAUUGAUUAUGUUUAAUGAUAUGAAAGAGAGCAAUAACAGGUCUGUUAUGCCCUGAGAUAGGCAGGGCCGCACGCGUGCUACAAUGUUGGUGGCAGCGUGCUUAUUCGUUUUUGAUAGUAAGCGGUAAACCGUUGAGGUAUUAUUAUGGUCGGAAUUGAGGAUUGUAAUUAUUUCUCGUGAACAAGGAAUUCCUUGUAAUUGAAUGUCAUUAUCGUUCAAUGAAUAUGUCCCUGCCCUUUGUACACACCGCCCGUCGCUGCCCGGAACUGAGUUAUUUCGAGAAGAUUAUGGACGAUGGAGCUUUUUCACUUCGGUGUUGGGUUUCGUUGAAAGUGAUUUAAUCGCGAUGGCUU